rnacentral:rRNA from 1 species
AUUGAACGCUGGCGGCAUGCUUUACACAUGCAAGUCGAACGGUAACAGGCCGCAAGGUGCUGACGAGUGGCGAACGGGUGAGUAAUGCAUCGGAACGUGCCCAGUCGUGGGGGAUAACGCAGCGAAAGCUGUGCUAAUACCGCAUACGAUCUAUGGAUGAAAGCGGGGGACCGUAAGGCCUCGCGCGAUUGGAGCGGCCGAUGUCAGGUUAGGUAGUUGGUGGGGUAAAGGCUCACCAAGCCAACGAUCUGUAGCUGGUCUGAGAGGACGACCAGCCACACUGGGACUGAGACACGGCCCAGACUCCUACGGGAGGCAGCAGUGGGGAAUUUUGGACAAUGGGCGCAAGCCUGAUUCAGCAAUGCCGCGCGCAGGAAGAAGGCCUUCGGGUUGUAAACUGCUUUUGUACGGAACGAAAAGGUUUGGGUUAAUACCCUGGGCCGAUGACGGUACCGUAAGAAUAAGCACCGGCUAACUACGUGCCAGCAGCCGCCGUAA